GCUUGUCCCUGGUUGCCCCCUCCCCUUGGUUAGUACGAGCGCUGGGAGUCGGGGAGGGCCAUUCCUGCCUCAAAGCGAGAGUGUAGGUGAGAGUGGACGGCGAGCCAGCCGGCGGCCGCGGUGGCGACUGAGGAACAGGUGUGAGUGUGGCGGCUGGGCUGCCCUGCGCGGGGUGGGGCCGUCCUGAGGGAGACAGAGGGGAAAUUCCGCGGGACCGGUGGUGAGCAGUGUGUGGGCUGAGGAGUUGUGUCUGCCUCUGACUGUCUGUCUGUGUGAGUUGAGGGAGGCGGGGGCUGAGUCAGUGGGAACAGGGGAUGGUUUUCUGAGUGACUCACUCUCCCCCACCCCAAGCCUGAUUCAGACCCUGAGAAAGGCUUUGUUCGUGGGGCGGAUGGGAAGUCAGGCGCCUGCGUCCCUGGUGGGGACACAGAUCCGUAGUGGUUGGCGAAGAUUAUGCUUAGGGUACAGGAAGUUUUGUUCUGGAGCGCUCUGCAGUCCACGGUGUCGUCGUGGGUGGUUGUGGAUAAAGGCUGAAGAUGAGAAGGGCUGGAGGGACGGAACUCGCUAGUUUAGGGAAAGCUGAGUCAGUUCCCCGUGGGAAAGGGGAAGUGGCAGAGGGGAAGUGUCAUCAUCGCAGAAGGGGAAGCUGCAUUUCCUGGUAACUAGCAGCGUUCUGGGCACCGCUUCCUUCGCAGGGUGUCUGCUUCUCUGACAUCUGGUAUCCCGAGCUGCCGUUUGUCCACGUCUGGUCCCUUGGCCCCCCUCAGGGCUUGACUAGGGCAGCCAGUUUGGGCUUCACUUGACCACACUGGCGUUGUAUGUGUCUCAGAGCUUGGUAACUGACGGGCUGAAGCCUCAGGAGAGUUCUGACUGGAGCUCCGCGUGAACUGUGGAGUCCGCGGAGCGCAAGCUCCCACCAGGUCUCGGACCGAGUAGCCUGCGGGAUUCUGUAGGGUCCAAACACUUUUCACGAACUGAUGACCUUGCCCCAGCGGGAGGGAAGAUUGUUUUCGCCAGAAACCCUUCUGCCUUUGUGGGCUGGGUGGAAAUUUCCCCACAGUGCAGACUUCUCGGCCGAGGCGAACUUUCCAGCCGCCCCCAACCCCUCGCCGCGCGCUCGCUCUCCCCCGGCUUCCUGCCCGGCGCUUUCUCCAGCUGGAGCGCUAGCCCCGCCCCCGCGGCUUUGUACUCGACACUCGCCUCUCGCCGCUCUUUGUACUCUAGACUCUCAAUGGGCCGAUCCCGGGAGCGGAGCCUGGUCUCUACCUGCCGGGACCUGGGGCUGUUACUGA
rnacentral:lncRNA from 1 species